rnacentral:rRNA from 1 species
GGUUAAGCGACUAAGCGUACACGGUGGAUGCCUAGGCAAUCAGAGGCGAUGAAGGACGUGCUAAUCUGCGAUAAGCGUCGGUAAGGUGAUAUGAACCGUUACAACCGACGAUUUCCGAAUGGGGAAACCCAGUGCAAUUCGUUGCACUAUCGUUUGAUGAAUACAUAGUCAAACGAAGCGAACCGAGGGAACUGAAACAUCUCAGUACCUCGAGGAAAAGAAAUCAACCGAGAUUCCCCUAGUAGCGGCGAGCGAACGGGGAGCAGCCCAGAGUCUUAAUCAGCAUUAGCAUCAGGAGAACGGUCUGGAAAGGCCGGCAGUAAAGGGUGAUAGCCCCGUAUCCGAAGGUGUUAGUGUUGUGAACUCGACGAGUAGGGCGGGACACGUGUUAUCCUGUCUGAAUAUGGGGGGACCAUCCUCCAAGGCUAAAUACUCCUGAUUGACCGAUAGUGAACCAGUACCGUGAGGGAAAGGCGAAAAGAACCCCGGCGAGGGGAGUGAAAUAGAACCUGAAACCGUGUACGUACAAGCAGUGGGAGCACCUUUAUGGUGUGACUGCGUACCUUUUGUAUAAUGGGUCAGCGACUUAUAUUCUGUAGCAAGGUUAACCGUAUAGGGGAGCCGUAGGGAAACCGAGUCUUAACUGGGCGAAUGAGUUGCAGGGUAUAGACCCGAAACCCGGUGAUCUAGCCAUGGGCAGGUUGAAGGUUGGGUAACACUAACUGGAGGACCGAACCGACUAAUGUUGAAAAAUUAGCGGAUGACUUGUGGCUGGGGGUGAAAGGCCAAUCAAACCGGGAGAUAGCUGGUUCUCCCCGAAAGCUAUUUAGGUAGCGCCUCGUGAACUCAUCUUCGGGGGUAGAGCACUGUUUCGACUAGGGGGUCAUCCCGACUUACCAACUCGAUGCAAACUACGAAUACCGAAGAAUGUUAUCACGGGAGACACACGGCGGGUGCUAACGUUCGUCGUGAAGAGGGAAACAACCCAGACCGCCAGCUAAGGUCCCAAAGUCAUAGUUAAGUGGGAAACGAAGUGGGAAGGCUCAGACAGCCAGGAUGUUGGCUUAGAAGCAGCCAUCAUUUAAAGAAAGCGUAAUAGCUCACUGGUCGAGUCGGCCUGCGCGGAAGAUGUAACGGGGCUAAACUAUGCACCGAAGCUGCGGCAGCGAUAUGUAAAUAUUGUUGGGUAGGGGAGCGUUCUGUAAGCCUGUGAAGGUGUACUGUGAGGUAUGCUGGAGGUAUCAGAAGUGCGAAUGCUGACAUAAGUAACGAUAAUGCGGGUGAAAAACCCGCACGCCGGAAGACCAAGGGUUCCUGUCCAACGUUAAUCGGGGCAGGGUGAGUCGACCCCUAAGGCGAGGCAGAAAUGCGUAGUCGAUGGGAAACGGGUUAAUAUUCCCGUACUGGUGAUAAUUGCGAUGGGGGGACGGAGAAGGUUAGGCUGGCCGGGCGACGGUUGUCCCGGUUUAAGGAUGUAGGCAGGUGAAUUAGGCAAAUCCGGUUCACUAUAUGCUGAGGUCUGAUGACGAGUCACUACGGUGGCGAAGUAGCUCAUACCCCGCUUCCAGGAAAAGCCUCUAAGCUCUAGAUUAUCAUUAAUCGUACCCCAAACCGACACAGGUGGUCAGGUAGAGAAUACUCAGGCGCUUGAGAGAACUCGGGUGAAGGAACUAGGCAAAAUGGUGCCGUAACUUCGGGAGAAGGCACGCUGGCAUUAGGUGAAGUGAUUUACUCAUGGAGCUGAAGCCAGUCGCAGAUACCAGCUGGCUGCAACUGUUUAUUAAAAACACAGCACUGUGCAAACACGAAAGUGGACGUAUACGGUGUGACGCCUGCCCGGUGCUGGAAGGUUAAUUGAUGGGGUUAUCCGUAAGGAGAAGCUCUUGAUCGAAGCCCCAGUAAACGGCGGCCGUAACUAUAACGGUCCUAAGGUAGCGAAAUUCCUUGUCGGGUAAGUUCCGACCUGCACGAAUGGCGUAAUGAUGGCCAGGCUGUCUCCACCCGAGACUCAGUGAAAUUGAACUCGCUGUGAAGAUGCAGUGUACCCGCGGCAAGACGGAAAGACCCCGUGAACCUUUACUAUAGCUUGACACUGAACAUUGAGCCUUGAUGUGUAGGAUAGGUGGGAGGCUUUGAAGCGUGGACGCCAGUCUGCGUGGAGCCAACCUUGAAAUACCACCCUUUAAUGUUUGAUGUUCUAACGUAGCCCCGUAAUCCGGGGUGCGGACAGUGUCUGGUGGGUAGUUUGACUGGGGCGGUCUCCUCCCAAAGAGUAACGGAGGAGCACGAAGGUUGGCUAAGCAUGGUCGGACAUCAUGCGGUUAGUGCAAAGGCAUAAGCCAGCUUGACUGCGAGAGUGACGGCUCGAGCAGGUACGAAAGUAGGUCUUAGUGAUCCGGUGGUUCUGUAUGGAAGGGCCAUCGCUCAACGGAUAAAAGGUACUCCGGGGAUAACAGGCUGAUACCGCCCAAGAGUUCAUAUCGACGGCGGUGUUUGGCACCUCGAUGUCGGCUCAUCACAUCCUGGGGCUGAAGUAGGUCCCAAGGGUACGGCUGUUCGCCGUUUAAAGUGGUACGCGAGCUGGGUUUAGAACGUCGUGAGACAGUUCGGUCCCUAUCUGCCGUGGGCGUUGGAAGAUUGAAAGGGGCUGCUCCUAGUACGAGAGGACCGGAGUGGACGCACCACUGGUGUUCGGGUUGUCAUGCCAAUGGCAUUGCCCGGUAGCUAAGUGCGGAAGAGAUAACCGCUGAAAGCAUCUAAGCGGGAAACUUGCCUUGAGAUGAGUCUUCCCUGACUCUUUAAGGGUCCUAAAGGAACGUUUAAGACUAAGACGUUGAUAGGUUGGGUGUGUAAGCGUAGCGAUACGUUGAGCUAACCAAUACUAAUGAACCGUGAGGCUUAACCUG